UUCCACCCAUUAUACAAUUGAUGGUUGCCUUACGAUUCUAUGCAACAGGAUCCUUUUUUCAAACUAUUGGAGAUUUUUGUGGUGUAAGCACAUCAAGUGCUCAGAGAAUUGUCCAUCGUGUUUCUUGUGCUAUUGCUGCAUUAAGGAAGGAUGUUACAGAAACAACCGAACAACAACAACCGUUACCGAUAUCGAUCGGGCGACUUAGGGCGGUCGAUAACCAAUCGAUCUCGUUAGAGUUUCGGACGAGAGAGGGUGCGCUGCUAGAGCGUUUUUUGGGUGCGCUGCGCGAAUUUUCUUGUCGUGACUUCUUUGUGGGACAAAGGUUGCAAGUGCGUUCUCUCUGCGAGAGAAAGGACGACGGGAUUUCUACAGGGUAGUGGGCCCUGCGGUUAUCACUCCUGACCGUGUCAGCGAGACACCCCUUCGAUUGCGAUCCCUCAGUGCGAGGCUUCUGUUGUCAUCUCUCAGGGCGAGACGAGGUUAAGCGGGUGAGCUUUACAACACGAAAACAGAAGUGAGUACGUAUUUUUUCGGCCUUGAUCAAGCCGAAGCCCUCCUCAGGGUGAUAGUGUCUCACUGAGACGCUUUUUUCCUACGCUACGGAUUGCUUGCGUCAGUGAGACGCGUGGUUGUGUCAGUGAGACACUUUUAUUUCUCAAAAUUUGAGUCGUGUCAGUAAGACACGUUUUACGUGCAACAUUGCUCGUGUCAGUGAGACACUUUUUUCUUAUUUUACGUGAUAACAUCAGUGAGACGUCCUUCUCUUUUUUUUGUUGCGAUCUAGCAGUGUCAGUGCGACACUCAAUCAUUUAUUAUUUUACCCGGUUAAGUGCCAAAAGCGUGGCAGUGUCACUACGACGUUAUAAUCAGCCGAAUUAAUUAUUUGUUUUCAGCUAUAUUCAGUAUAUUUUCAGCUAUAUUUAGUUUAUUCUCAGUUUAUAUUCAGUCCAUUUUUUGUUUAUGUUCAGUGAUAUGUAACGGCGUGAAAAACCAGAAUUUGUAGCAAUAAAAAGCAUUUUAAUACAUGUAAAUAAAGGAUUUCAUACUUCCAAUAUUACCGGAAGAAAUUCGUCAAAACCAGGAGGAAUUUUAUCAUGCUGCAAAAUUUAUUCGUGUCAUCGGCUAUAUGGAUUGUACACAUGUAAAACUACAAUCAUGUGGUGGAAAAGAGAAUUAAUUAUUCCACAAUAGAAAAGGCUGGUUUUCUGUUAUUGUACAAGUUGUUAUUAAUGCAAGAUUAGAAAUUAUAUAUAUUGUGACACGUUGGCCAGGAUCUACGCAUGAUUUCACUAUUUUUGAUCAUUCCAAGUUAAAAACUUUGUUUGAAACAGGCACGUUCGGUGACAGUGUAGCAGAUUCUGGAUAUCCAAAUCUGCCAUAUAUUAUGUGUCCAUUGCAAGAUCCGACAGCAACUGCAGAGCAUCUAUACAAUGAAUUUCAAAUUAGAACUCGCUAAAAAAUUGAACGUUUUUUUGGUAUUUGGAAAAGGAGAUUUCCAGUUCUGUCUAUUGGAACACGUUUUUUUACCUGAGAGAGUGCUUCCUGUUAUUAUUGCAACAGCAGUUUUGCAUAACAUUAUGCAACAGAAUAUAGAAAAGAUUAGGACUGAUCCCGAAGCAUAUAAUAAUGCUAUUGCAUUAGUGCAAAACAUAAAUUAUAGAGAUGUCACUAAUGUGCGACAUACAAUAGUCAAAUAUUUUGAAAGGUAAUAGUAAAAAUUAAUCAGAAAAAUAUGUACUUUAAUACUAUAUAAUUAAGUUUUUUUAAUAAUAACAGGUUAAUUUAAAACAUUUGAAAUGUUUAAAGACACAAUAAGUAUUUGAGGAAGGAUCUCAACUCAUGAAUAAGUCAAUUAAUAUAAGUGAGACAAGCAUUUUACCUAAUAAGAACUUAUUAACUCAUUAAUUGGACUGGUGCAUUAAUAAAUAAUUUAACUCAUCGAAA